CUCGUAAAGCUCUGUUGUUAAAGAAGAACACGUAUGAGAGUAACUGUUCAUACGUUGACGGUAUUUAACCAGAAAGUCACGGCUAACUACGUGCCAGCAGCCGCGGUAAUACGUAGGUGGCAAGCGUUAUCCGGAUUUAUUGGGCGUAAAGAGAGUGCAGGCGGUUUUCUAAGUCUGAUGUGAAAGCCUUCGGCUUAACCGGAGAAGUGCAUCGGAAACUGGAUAACUUGAGUGCAGAAGAGGGUAGUGGAACUCCAUGUGUAGCGGUGGAAUGCGUAGAUAUAUGGAAGAACACCAGUGGCGAAGGCGGCUACCUGGUCUGCAACUGACGCUGAGACUCGAAAGCAUGGGUAGCGAACAGGAUUAGAUACCCUGGUAG
rnacentral:rRNA from 1 species